AACGAACGCUGGCGGCAGGCCUAACACAUGCAAGUCGAACGCCCCGCAAGGGGAGUGGCAGACGGGUGAGUAACACGUGGGAACCUACCUCAAGGUGCGGAACAACCAAGGGAAACUUUGGCUAAUACCGCAUGUGCCCUUCGGGGGAAAGAUUUAUCGCCUUGGGAUGGGCCCGCGUCGGAUUAGCUAGUUGGUGAGGUAACGGCUCACCAAGGCGACGAUCCGUAGCUGGUCUGAGAGGAUGACCAGCCACACUGGGACUGAGACACGGCCCAGACUCCUACGGGAGGCAGCAGUGGGGAAUAUUGGACAAUGGGCGCAAGCCUGAUCCAGCCAUGCCGCGUGUGUGAUGAAGGCCUUAGGGUUGUAAAGCACUUUCGCCGAUGAAGAUAAUGACGGUAGUCGGAGAAGAAGCCCCGGCUAACUUCGUGCCAGCCGCCGCUGUAAUAC
rnacentral:rRNA from 1 species